UGCUGAAAACUCAGGCUGGGAAGAUCCGAACAGCAACAUCUGAUUUGAAAACUUAGGGUUCCAAAUUGCUCUAAAUUCCCGCGGAUUGAGAGUUCAUUGGAGACUUCCAUUUUUCCCAGCGGCUAAGACAAAAGCAGCCUCAGCAUAGCUCAUUACUUGUAGAAUCCUGAAAAUUCUGAAAACGCUGUCUUUUCGGCUUCACUGGGAGAUUUACUCCAUCCCGUCCGAUUGCAGAUGAGCCGGUUGAUUGAGCAUCACCUAGCAAAUAAUAAACAGGACAUGAAAGGGACAGAGGUUUUUGUUGGUGGUUUGGCCCGUACUACUACUGAAAGCAAAAUUCAUGAGGUAUUUUCUUCAUGUGGUGAGAUUGUGGAAAUACGGUUGAUA